rnacentral:rRNA from 1 species
UACGGGGGGGGUAAGCGUUGUUCGGAAUUACUGGGCGUAAAGGGCUCGUAGGCGGCCAACUAAGUCAGACGUGAAAUCCCUCAGUUUAACUGGGGAACUGCGUCUGAUACUGGAUGGCUUGGAUUCGGGAGAGGAAUGCGGAAUUCCAGGUGUAGCGGUGAAAUGCGUAGAUAUCUGGAGGAACACCGGUGGCGAAGGCGGCAUUCUGGACCGAUAUUGACGCUGAGGAGCGAAAGCCAGGGGAGCAAACGGG